rnacentral:lncRNA from 1 species
UUGUACGGAACUUCACCCGCGGUAGAGUACGGCCUGAGAAUUUUGUUCCAGCACCGGAAAACAUCUGAGCCCAUGAAUUGCCAGACCCUGGAUACCUGAGACACAUCCACUUGCUUCUCAGGUUUGGAGUGCAUAAUGAGGAGAAAUAAAAACAGAAAGAUCUCCAGAAAGAAGCCAUGGUAAGAUUCAAGGUUUCACAGUCCAAGCUAAUGCCUGUGGACACUUGACCAAGUGAUCUGAGAAAAUUGGAUUUCUGGCAAAACAAGUGUACCUAGACUCAGGCAAGGGUGGAGAACAGAGGGCGACUAGAUUAAAUGGAAAGAAUGCCCAGGCAUCCCAUUGCCUCCCUUUGACGUUCCAGAACUUCAUCAAGACAGUGAUGAGCUACAUGUACACCUGGAGGAGAGUUCAGGAUCAAGCUCAGAAGCGCACAGCUGCCAGCAAGCAGUCUACUACUGAACUGCACCAUCUCUCCAGCCUGUGCUUACUCUUGAAUAGCCCCAAAGUAGUCAAUGGGCUAUUUGGUACUGGACAACCAAUUGGAGUGUUGUUUGCGGGGGAGGACCACCUCUCCAGGUAGAAUCUAAACAUCAGAAAAUCAACAACCCAGUUAAAAUAAUCUAGAGCACUAACCAGAGCGUUCUCAGAAGAAGCACUACAAACGGCUAAGAAACACGAGACUGCUCAACAUCCUUUGCCAUCAGGGAAACACAGAAGCUCACUUUUCAGUUUUCAUCUUUCUGGAGUCAGAAUGGUUAUCGUCAAGAAUGCCAGUGACAUGGAUGUAGAGGACGGAUUCCUUCAUUGUCUAAGUCUCUGGAAAUAGUGCAGAAGAGUAGUCAGGGACUAAAAGAUGGAAGACAGAAAGGGCUGCAAAGUUCCAUCCUAGAGACUCAAUACAGCCAUUGCAAUGAUGAACUCACAAAAACUGCAUUUACCUGAACUUAGCCUGCUCAAGACAUUGAAAGUGUUUCAAAGUAGCUUUUCCUGUUGUGAAUGUACCUCUCAGCUAGUCUGGUUUCUGGUUCAGAGCUCUUAGGCACAGAGUUGUCUUGAACAUUUGCUUACAGGCACUUGUGUAGAUAUCAGCUGCUUUUUUUUGUUAAAUCUCUGAAAUAAAUGCCUAGGCGUUCAAUGGCAAUGUUAUAUCAGUAUGUAUUUAGCUUAGUUUUAAAAUAAGAAACUGUCAAAUACUUUUGUAGAAUUACUGGACCAUUUUACACCCCUGCCAACAAAGUAAGAUUGAUCCAGCUCCCCACAUUCUCAUAAACAUUUGUUUUUGUUUCUUUAAGAAGACAAGUUAACCAUUCCAUUUAUUGAGAAUUUACUUACCAUUCAGUGCAUUGCUUAGAUAUGUAGUAUUCAGUUUUUAGUACACAUACAAGGUUGUGUAUCGAUUACUACUAAUUCCAGAACAUUUCCAUUACCAUAGAAAAAGAAACCCAAUAUUCAUUUUCAUCUCUCCUCUAUGGACUUACCUAAUCUAGAUAUACCAAAUAAAUGGAAUUUUUAUAAAAUAUGA